GCGCGAAACCUCUACAAUGCACGAAAGUGUGAUAGGGGGAUCCUAAGUGCUUGUACAAUGUACAGGCUUUUGCCGAGAGUAAACAUCUCGGAGAAUAAGUGGUGGGCAAGACUGGUGCCAGCAGCCGCGGUAAUACCAGCGCCACAAGUGGGGACCGCUUUUAUUGGGUCUAAAGCGUCCGUAGCAGGUCAAGCAAAUCUUUUGUGAAAUCGCAGGGCUUAACUUUGCGGAGUGCAGAAGACACUACUUGACUCGGGACCGGGAGGAGUGAGAAGUAUUUCCAGGGGAACGGUAAAAUGUUUUAAUCCUGGAAGGACUACCGAUGGCGAAGGCAUCUCACCAGAACGGGUCCGACUGUGAGGGACGAAAGCUAGGGGAGCGAUCCGG
rnacentral:rRNA from 1 species